AUAAAUGUUAACUAAUGAAAUUAUUUUAAGUCUUCUAAACUUAAUAAGAGCUUUGCUCUUUCAUUUAUU
rnacentral:tRNA from 1 species